ACAAUUCCGGUAGUAAUAUCGGAAUGCUUUUAUUAGAUCAAAACCUUCUAGUUCUUUAAACGGAACUGUUUGUUGGUGACUCUAAAUAACUUUGUGUUGAUCGUAUGACCUUUGUGUCGACGACAUAUCUUUCAAGUGUCUGACUUAUCAACUUUAGACGGUACAUUAUAUGUCUACCGUGGUUGUAACGAGUACAGAGAAUCAGGGUUUGGUUCUGGAGAGGCCGCCUGAGAAACGGCGACCACUUCCAAGGAAGGCAGCAGGCGCGCAAAUUACCCACUCUCAAAAUGAGGAGGUAGUGAAGAGAAAUAACGAUGUUAGUCUAUUAUAGGCUGACAAUCGGAAUGGGAACACUGUAAACAGGUUAUCGAUUAACAAUUGGAGGGCAAGUCUGGUGCCAGCAGCCGCGGUAAUUCCAGCUCCAAUAAGGAAAACUAAAGUUGCUGUGUUUAAAAAGCUCGUAGUUGAAUUUCGGGUAUUUGUUGCUAGCUGGUCUAACUGGCCAUGUUGGUUAACAGAUCCUCAUUUGCUGGACGGCUGGCGAUGAUCUUUAUCGAUUGUCGUCAGUUGCCAGAACGUUUACUUUGAGAAAAUUAGAGUGCUAAAAGCAGGCUCACGCCUAUAUAUAUUGCAUGGAAUAAUGAAAUAAGAUCUCGAUUUUAUUUCGUUGGUUUUAGAAAUUGAGAUAAUGAUUAAUAGGAUCAGAGGGGGGCGUACGUACUGUGGUGUGAGAGGUGAAAUUCUUGGAUCGCCACAGGACGAACAGCAGCGAAGGCGUUCGCCAAGAAUGUUUUCAUUAAUCAAGAACGAAAGUUUGAGGUUCGAAGACGAUUAGAUACCGUCCUAGUUCAAACCAUAAACGUUGCCAACUGUCUUUUAGAUGCGGUUACUCAUAUGACUCAUCUGGCGGAUCUCGAGAAAUCUAAGUUUUUAGGUUCCGGGGGAAGUAUGGUUGCAAAGCUGAAACUUAAAAGAAUUGACGGAAGGACACACAAGAAGUGGAGCCUGUGGCCUAAUUUGACUCAACACGGGAAACCUUACUCGGCCAGGACACUUUUAGGAUUGACAGAUUGAGAGCUCUUUCUUGAUUAGGUGGGUGGUGGUGCAUG
rnacentral:rRNA from 1 species